rnacentral:ncRNA from 1 species
GCUCUCGUACAGUGAAACUGCGAAUGGCUCAUUAAAUCAGUUAUGGUUCAUUUGAUCGUACAGUUUACUUGGAUAACUGUGGUAAUUCUAGAGCUAAUACAUGCGAGAAGCGCCGACCUCGCGGGAGGCGUGCAUUUAUCAGACCAAAAACCGGCCGCGUCUUCGGGCGCGUUCGCCUUGGUGACUCUGGAUAACUUUGCGGAUCGCACGGUCUAGCACCGGCGACGGAUCAUUCAAGUGUCUGCCCUAUCAACUUUCGUCGGUACGGUAUUUGCCUACCGAGGUUCUUACGGGUGACGGGGAAUCAGGGUUCGAUUCCGGAGAGGGAGCCUGAGAAACGGCUACCACAUCCAAGGAAGGCAGCAGGCGCGCAAAUUACCCAUUCCCGACGCGGGGAGGUAGUGACGAAAAAUAACAAUGCAGGACUCGUUCGAGGCCCUGUAAUUGGAAUGAGUACACUUUAAAAGCUUUAACGAGUAUCCAUUGGAGGGCAAGUCUGGUGCCAGCAGCCGCGGUAAUUCCAGCUCCAAAAGUAUAUAUUUAAGUUGUUGCGGUUAAAAAGCUCGUAGUUGGAUUUUGGGCGCAGGCGGCCGGUCCGUCGCAAGGCGUGUACUGGACGUCCUGGCCUUCCCUCCGGUUCUCCGCCGGUGCUCUUGACUGAGUGUCGGCGGCGGCCGGAACGUUUACUAUGAAAAAAUUAGAGUGUUCAAAGCAGGCUCUCGAGCCUGGAUAAUGGUGCAUGGAAUAAUGGAAUAGGACCUCGGUUCUAUUUUGUUGGUUUUCGGAGCGCGAGGUAAUGAUUAAGAGGGACAGACGGGGGCAUUCGUACUGUGCCGUUAGAGGUGAAAUUCUUGGAUCGGCGCAAGACGAACGACUGCGAAAGCAUUUGCCAAGAAUGUUUUCUUUAAUCAAGAGCGAAAGUCAGAGGUUCGAAGACGAUCAGAUACCGUCCUAGUUCUGACUAUAAACGAUGCCAACUAGCGAUCGGGGGGCGUUACAUUGACGACCCCUCCGGCAGCUUACGGGAAACCAAAGUCUUUGGGUUCCGGGGGAAGUAUGGUUGCAAAGCUGAAACUUAAAGGAAUUGACGGAAGGGCACCACCAGGAGUGGAGCCUGCGGCUUAAUUUGACUAAACC